AAGGAUCAUUAACGAAUUAUAUUGGAGUUGUGCUGGUUAUUACAAGUGCACGCUCCUUACAAUUCCAUUCACACCCCUUGUGCACUCUAAGAGACGUAUCUCCCCCGUUUACGUGCCUUGAUUGGCUUGGGAUUUCGUCUGUUUAAUACACUCUUUAUUGUAAUAGAAUGUAAUCUGACCGAAAGGUCUAAAACUUAAAUAUAACUUUCAACAACGGAUCUCUUGGUUCUC
rnacentral:misc_RNA from 1 species